rnacentral:rRNA from 1 species
AUGCAAGUCGAACGGCAGCACGGAGCUUGCUCUGGUGGCGAGUGGCGAACGGGUGAGUAAUAUAUCGGAACGUACCCUAGAGUGGGGGAUAACGUAGCGAAAGUUACGCUAAUACCGCAUACGAUCUAAGGAUGAAAGUGGGGGAUCGCAAGACCUCAUGCUCGUGGAGCGGCCGAUAUCUGAUUAGCUAGUUGGUAGGGUAAAAGCCUACCAAGGCAUCGAUCAGUAGCUGGUCUGAGAGGACGACCAGCCACACUGGAACUGAGACACGGUCCAGACUCCUACGGGAGGCAGCAGUGGGGAAUUUUGGACAAUGGGCGAAAGCCUGAUCCAGCAAUGCCGCGUGAGUGAAGAAGGCCUUCGGGUUGUAAAGCUCUUUUGUCAGGGAAGAAACGGUGAGAGCUAAUAUCUCUUGCUAAUGACGGUACCUGAAGAAUAAGCACCGGCUAACUACGUGCCAGCAGCCGCGGUAAUACGUAGGGUGCAAGCGUUAAUCGGAAUUACUGGGCGUAAAGCGUGCGCAGGCGGUUUUGUAAGUCUGAUGUGAAAUCCCCGGGCUCAACCUGGGAAUUGCAUUGGAGACUGCAAGGCUAGAAUCUGGCAGAGGGGGGUAGAAUUCCACGUGUAGCAGUGAAAUGCGUAGAUAUGUGGAGGAACACCGAUGGCGA